AUCUACGGCCAUACCACCCUUAAGGCGCCCAAUCUCCUCUGAUCUUGGAGGCUAAGCAGGGUCGGGCCUGGUUAGUACUUGGACGGGAGAAGACUUUGUUCUGGAAGAUGCUGGUUAUUGUAAUUU
rnacentral:rRNA from 1 species